UUUUUUUUUUUUUUUUUUUUUUUGUCUUUUUGCCUUUUUCUAGGGCUGCUCUUGCAGCCUAUGGAGGUUCCCAGGCUAGGGGUCUAAUCAGAGCUGUAACCACCGGCCUACACCAGAGCCACAGCAAGGGAUCUGAGCCGUGUCUGCGACCUAUACCACAGUUCAUGGCAAUACCGGAUCCUUAACCCACUGAGCAAGGGCAGGGAUCAAACCCGCAACCUCACGGUUCCUAGUCGGAUUUGUUAACCACUGUGCCACGACGGGAACUCCUGUCUCACUAUUUCAUAUACCUCAUGUAAGUGGUAUCGUGCAAUAUUAGUCUUUCGGUGACUGGCUCCUUUCACUUCGCUUAAUGUCUUCAAGGGUCAUCCAUGUUUUGAAUAUGCCAGGUUUGCCUUCUUUUUUUUUUUUUUUUUUUUUUGAUGCUGAAUAACAUACAGCAUUUUGCAAGUGAUGAGAGAGAAAUGGGCAUUUUCUUUUCUCUUAUAUAUUUAAUAAUUUUUAAUUUAAAAUGGUAUAUAUAAUUUAUGUCAACUAGGAAACUUAGAAAAUUCAAAUAAAUCCAAAAGAGGGGAAAAAAGUGAACCACCCAUAAGUUGGACCACAGAGGUAUUUAGAGACCAUUCCAGAAUGUCUUCUAGGUAUUCGUAAUUUUUUAAGUAUGUAAUGCAUAUUGCUUUAUAACCUGCUUUUUUGCCCUUAAUUAUAUUUUGGAUUUAUUUUUCCACAUUAGUGAGUACCUACAACCAGUCACUACAACAGCUGCAUGGUAUUCCGCUGCAUGGAAUAAAAACUCUAGGCGGUUUCCAAUUGUCUGCUAUUGCCAGCAACCUUGUGAUCCUCAGUGCUGAAAUAACCACAAGGCAAAGCUCUAUUAGCUUUAUUGUCUAAUUUCUGUCCCCACUCCUGAAUCCCUUGCUUGUCCCUAUUAUAAAUAAUUAAAAUGUUUUCCAGUUAAACCUGCCUAAUUACAUAUUAAUGGUUCCAAGUCAAAAGAUCAUUGCUGAGCUUAAUUACAACAGAGCCACUUGUUCGCAAAAACCCAACCCUUUUUUCAUAUCAGAAACACCACCGUGAUCUACAGACUGAACUUUACAGACUAGAAUGAUCUUCUACAACAAACAGAUGUCAAUGGGUUCUCCCUUGAUAAGGCAGAAACGACAUCAUACCUAAUAAUUCAGACAGAGGAAAAUGAGUUCCAUAGUAAGGGAAUCUGCUUGUGAAAACAGUUUUAAAAUCAUGAGUAAUAUUGCAAAGUGGACAGGACAUGAGACCGAGGCAGACAAAAUGAGGUUAACAUUGGUACUGACCCCCCCCCCUUUUAUUUUUUUGUAUUUUUAGGGCCAUACCUGUGGCACAUGGAGGUUUCCAGGCUAGGGGUUGAAUCAGAGCUGUAGCUGCCAGCCUACACCACAGCAACAGCAAUGCCAGAUUCGAGCCACACCCAAGACCCACACCACAGCUCACAGAAACACUGAUCCUUAACCCAUUGAGGGAUGCCAGGGAUCAAACCUGCAUCCUCAAGGAUACUAGUCAGAUUUGUUUCCACUGAACCAUGACAGGAACUCCUGGCACUGACUCUUAUUUGCUGUGUUCUCUUGAGCAACCUGAAUUAACUUCUCUGACCCCCAAGCUGUUUAUCUAUAAAAUAGUUAUUAAUACCUACUGCAGAGUUGUGGUAGGGAUUAAAAUGAUGAUAGAUGACUCCAAUGUUUUAUUUAUUUGACAAAUGAAUAGAUGAGGAGAGUAAUUCCAUUCUUCCCAAUCAAGAAAGCGACAGAAGGACACCAGGAGGGACUGCCCCUUCUUGAACAUUAAGACACAGAGAACAGCUAGAGUCAGAUCUCUCUCCAACUUGAAAGAAACCAUCUCUUAGUCCAACUCUGCCUUUGAUAUCUCAGGCCAUAGCAUUCUCCAUUAAUAAGGUGGCCAAAGAAUUUACAUCCAGAGUUCCCAUUAUGGCUCGGUGGGUUAAAAACCCGACUAGUAUCCAUGAGGAUGUGGGUUCAAUCCCUGGCCUCACAGUGGGUUAAGAAUCUGGUAUUGCCAUGAACUGCGGCAUAGGUUGCAGACAUGGCUCAGAUCUGGUGUUGCUGUGGGGGUUAAAAACCCGACUAGUAUCCAUGAGGAUGUGGGUUCAAUCCCUGGCCUCACAGUGGGUUAAGGAUCUGGUAUUGCCAUGAGCUGCAGCAUAGGUUGCAGACAUGGCUCAGAUCUGGUGUUGCUGUGGCUGUGGCAUAGGCUGGCAGCUGCCACUCCAAUUCGACCCCUAGCCUAGGAACUUCCAUAUGCUGCAGGUGAGGCCCUAAAAAGUAAAAGAAAAAGAAUUUAUAUCCACACUGGGACACUUUUGAGACUUAACUGGGGCACUAUAAAUAGUUAGCAGGGACAGCAGGUACAAACUUGAACUCUCCCAGGCAGAGGGGUAACCCUGGUAUUAACUGCAUAAUGACCAGUCUACAUGGAGCAAGUAGAAAAACCAGGUCAUUUCAUUCCAAAGAACUCAUCCAGGAGUUUCCACUGUGACUGAAUGAGUUAAAAAUCUGACUGCAGUGACAUGAGUCACUGUAGAGGUGCAAGUUCAAACCCUGGCCCCAUAUGGUGGGUUAAAAGAUCUGGCAUGGCUGCAGCAACACCAGAUCCUUUAACCCAUCACACUGGGCCAGAGAUCAAACCUACACAUCUGCGGCAACCCAAGCCACUGCAGUAGGAUUCUUAACCCACUGUGCCACAGCAGAAAUGCCCCAUUUGAUUUUUUUACACAUCCAUUAUAUGCCAAGCCCUAGCCUAAAAUUACAGGAACUAGAGAGAUGGCUGUGCCAUAGUCUCUGCUUUCAAAAAACAGUUAAAUCAAGAUUAACAAAGAAGCUAUUCAUGAAAAACGUACAAAAUGAAAAAUUCCAUAUUGUGUGUGCAAAGCACCAUGGGCCACAGAGAAGAGGGUGACUGACUUCCUGAGAUGUGUUCACAGAAGUGGUACUAUUUGAGGCAUCUCAAGCGAUAUUUUCUAAGUGUGGGGAGUAAGUUCUAGGUCCAAAUCUAAGGACGUCUGAGAGUGUGGAAUGUGUAAAGAGCUGCCCAAGGUCCAGUAUGGCUGGAGCCUGCUCUGAAACAGGGAGAGGGGUUGGCCUCCAAACUCUCUCUGAGCUCCUACAACCCUCUCCAGCAGUGGAAAUCUCUGCUGUGUAGUUUCUAGCUCCUGCCUUCUCUCUAACAGAACUCCCAAAGCCCCAGAACUUCUUGCAAAGCUCCCACAUAUUUUCUUUGAAUGUCUUUAACAAUAAUGUUACUGUCUUUCUCAAUUUCUUAAAGUGUGUAGGUGUGCAUGUGGAAAUGUGGUGUCACAUGUCCAUUAUGCCAGAUUCUUGCCAUGAUCUGUACCAGUGAAAGCUUGAUGAAUAGAUGCCAGCUUCUGACUUUUAAAGCACCUUAAGUGAUAUGUUUUCAAAAGAGCAUUUUCUUACAAUAUUCCAAACCAUUCAAUUCAUACAAGGAACCCAUAUGAGACCGAGACGCACCCUAGACUGAGUUUACAUCCUUUUAAACAAGUUUUUCUACUAUCGUUUCUGUAGGGUAUAAAAAAAAAUCAAUGUGAUUCUAAAUAAUUCUGACCUCUUUAGAAGGCAACACAUGUUGCAUUUGAUUCAAAACAAUUCUUGUGUU
rnacentral:lncRNA from 1 species